rnacentral:piRNA from 1 species
UAAUAGUUGAUGUAGACCCUGAGA